GACGAACGCUGGCGGUAUGCUUAACACAUGCAAGUCGAACGAGAAGUUUUUUAUUGAACCUUCGGGGGAUAUAAGAGACAGACAGUGGCGAACGGGUGAGUAACGCGUGGGCAACCUACCUAUCGGAGCGGGAUAGCCUCGAGAAAUCGGGAGUAAAACCGCAUAACACGGAUAUAUCGCAUGAUGAAUCCGUCAAAACUCCGGUGCCGAUAGAUGGGCCCGCGUCUGAUUAGCUAGUUGGUAAGGUAAGGGCUUACCAAGGCAACGAUCAGUAGCCGGUUUGAGAGGGCGAACGGCCACACUGGAAAUGAGACACGGUCCAGACUCCUACGGGAGGCAGCAGUGGGGAAUAUUGCGCAAUGGGGGCAACCCUGACGCAGCAAUACCGCGUGAGGGAGAAGGUUUUCGGAUCGUAAAGCUCUGUUAUUGGGAAGAAGC
rnacentral:rRNA from 1 species